rnacentral:rRNA from 1 species
GAUGAACGCUGGCGGCGUGCCUAAUACAUGCCAGUCGAGCGAACAGACGAGGAGCUUGCUCCUCUGACGUUAGCGGCGGACGGGUGAGUAACACGUGGAUAACCUACCUAUAAGACUGGGUUAACUUCGGGAAACCGGAGCUAAUACCGGAUAAUAUAUUGAACCGCAUGGUUCAAUAGUGAAAGACGGUUUUGCUGUCACUUAUAGAUGGAUCCGCGCCGCAUUAGCUAGUUGGUAAGGUAACGGCUUACCAAGGCAACGAUGCGUAGCCGACCUGAGAGGGUGAUCGGCCACACUGGAACUGAGACACGGUCCAGACUCCUACGGGAGGCAGCAGUAGGGAAUCUUCCGCAAUGGGCGAAAGCCUGACGGAGCAACGCCGCGUGAGUGAUGAAGGUCUUCGGAUCGUAAAACUCUGUUAUUAGGGAAGAACAAAUGUGUAAGUAACUAUGCACGUCUUGACGGUACCUAAUCAGAAAGCCACGGCUAACUACGUG